rnacentral:rRNA from 1 species
AUAACGCGUGAGAAUCUGCCAACGGGACGGGGAUAACAGGGGGAAACCGCUGCUAAGACCCGAUAAACCGAAAGGGGAAAAAGAAAUUGCCAGUUGAUGAGCUCGCGUCGGAUUAGCUAGUUGGUAGGGUAAAGGCGUACCAAGGCGACGAUCCGUAGCCGGUCUGAGAGGACGAUCGGCCACACUGGGACUGAGACACGGCCCAGACUCCUACGGGAGGCAGCAGUGGGGAAUUUUCCGCAAUGGGCGAAAGCCUGACGGAGCAAGACCGCGUGAGGGAGGAAGGCUCUUGGGUUGUAAACCUCUUUUCUCAAGGAAGAAGCAAUGACGGUACUUGAGGAAUCAGCAUCGGCUAACUCCGUGCCAGCAGCCGCGGUAAUACGGAGGAUGCAAGCGUUAUCCGGAAUGAUUGGGCGUAAAGCGUCCGCAGGUGGCAGUUCAAGUCUGCCGUUAAAGACUCCAGCUUAACUGGAGGAAGGCGGUGGAAACUGAACAGCUAGAGUGCGGUAGGGGCAGAGGGAAUUCCCGGUGUAGCGGUGAAAUGCGUAGAGAUCGGGAAGAACACCAGUGGCGAAAGCGCUCUGCUGGACCGCAACUGACACUCAGGGACGAAAGCUAGGGGAGCGAAUGGGAUUAGAUACCCCAGUAGUCCUAGCCGUAAACGAUGGAUACUAGGUGUUGUGCGUAUCGACCCGCGCAGUGCCGCAGCUAACGCGCUAAGUAUCCCGCCUGGGGAGUACGCACGCAAGUGUGAAACUCAAAGGAAUUGACGGGGGCCCGCACAAGCGGUGGAGUAUGUGGUUUAAUUCGAUGCAACGCGAAGAACCUUACCAGGACUUGACAUGUCCGGAAUCCUUGGGAAACCAGGGAGUGCCUUCGGGAACCGGAACACAGGUGGUGCAUGGCUGUCGUCAGCUCGUGUCGUGAGAUGUUGGGUUAAGUCCCGCAACGAGCGCAACCCUCGUUUCUAGUUGCCAGCAUUAAGUUGGGCACUCUGGAGAGACUGCCGGUGACAAACCGGAGGAAGGUGGGGAUGACGUCAAGUCAGCAUGCCCCUUACGUUCUGGGCUACACACGUACUACAAUGCUUCAGACAAAGGGCAGCCAGCCAGCGAUGGUCAGCAAAUCCCAGAAA